AAGUCGUAACAAGGUUUCCGUAGGUGAACCUGCGGAAGGAUCAUUACAGAGUAUUAUCGCCUUUGGCGAAUUUCUCUAUCUAUAAACUCUUUUUUCUAAAAAGACAUGAUUUAAUAAUUAGUCUGAAUGUUUUUAUACAAAACUUUUAAAACUUUCAACAACGGAUCUCUUGGUUCUC
rnacentral:misc_RNA from 1 species